GCAACUAUGGCUCAGUGGGAAGAGUAGUCGCCUUCCAAUGUGAAAGUUGUAGGUUCAAUUCCAGCUUUCUCCUGCU